UUCCGCGGCUUGGUCUUGGUCUUGAGGAUUUCAUCUCUCGGAUCUUGUUUCGAACUUCGAAGUGAUAAUGUGAUUACUUACGCAUUAUUUUAAUUAAAUAUCAAUAUCAAUUAAAGUAAUAUUCUGUCUUUGGGUGCAGACAAUCCAUUUUGUUCCGCGGCUUGGUCUUGAGGAUUUCUACGUACUCUACUAACCUCGUAAUUCUCACAUUUCUCAUUUUUUCAACUCGCGGAUCUUGUUUCGAGCUUCCAAGUGAUAACGUGAUUACUUAUGCAUUAUUUUAAUUAAAUAUCAAUUAAAGUAAUAUUCUGUCUUUGGGUGCAGACAAUCCACCAACUAAGCUACUUUAGAAAUUUCGGAUGAUGAUCCACGGAAAGUGCCGAUUAUGACAAGUCAAGAUACUAAUUGAAGAAUACUCAAGUUGUUUUUUGACAAAAAAACCUAUUGAGGAUCUCUUGGACAGGAGCUUGCCUGUAUUAAGAAGUUCAUGGGUGGCAGAGAAACAAAGUCCUGUUGAUACUUUGACAGUGUCACUCAAAGCCAGUAGCAUCGUACCUACAGCGUAUCUUUUCUCCAACUGCUUCAUGAACCUCUUUGUAGCUACCUCAUGAAUUAAGAUACUAAUAAUUGAAGAAACUCAAGUUGUUUUUUGACAAAAAACCCUAUUGAGGAUCUCUUGGACAGGAGCUUGCCUGUAUUAAGAAGUUCAUGGGUGGCAGAGAAACAAAGUCCUGUUGAUACUUUGACAGUCUUAGCCUUUUUGUCAACAUACAUAUUCUGAUUUAUGCAAAUUGAA